rnacentral:lncRNA from 1 species
AUCCCUGUGGGUCUUUCCACUUAUUUUAUGAAAACCACCCCUGUCUACUUAGAAAGAAGAAUCACUGUAACCCACCUGCCAGGAUUUUGAAGGGAACAUUGAAAGAGUGCCUUAAGAAUGAUAUUUGUUCAUUGGACAGACUGAAACUUUAUUAAAUAGAUUAAUCACUUGUAGUCCAAAAAUCUGAAAUCUACCAUGUUCAAAAAGACACAUGUUUUGUCCACAUGCCACAAGUGGGAUUCCGAGGUAACCUCAUGUGACAGGAUGCAGUUAAAAUGCAAGUUUAUGAAGUUAUGUAAAAUUACCACACACCUGAGUAAUAUAAAGUAAGAUGAACCAUAACGACUUCCCAAGUCCAAACCAAUGCAUCUGAUACUCUUCUGCUCCCACACCUUUCAGGUGAGAGCUGCUCAGCUGGGCCCUCUUGAACCUUUGCUCUUGAGAGAUCUUAGGUGUCCCCCUCCUAGCCACCUCCUCUCCCCAGAUGUUAACUCUCCUGUCUCCUGCCAGAGUUGACAAGCUGGGUCUGGGAAGGCCAUCUAAGUAGCUAAUUUCCUACAGAUGUCAACUCCCCUCUUGUCGGCUCCAUGUCCAUUUUCCAAUGGCCCCUUAACCCCUCAUCUCCAAACUUUGUCUUGAGAAGAGCUGUGUGCUCAUUUACAUUUCUCUUUACUGAGAGAGGAGCCAGUAUUCUGUUCCCUCUGCCUCAGAUGUUCAUUCAUUCUCCAUCCUCUGAAAGCUUUAUGUCUGUGUGUAUAGUAUACACAUCACUGUGCUAAGACCAGAAAGCAAGCAAAAGUAGUCUCUAUCUUCAGGAAGCUUAUGUGCUACAGAACACUGGAAACAGCCAAGAAAUGAUGAGAAUACAUAUUCUUUAACAGUUUCAUUCAUAUAUAUAUGUUAUAUAUAUAUAACACACACACACACAUAUAUAUAUAUAUAAACGUUCUGAUUACAUAAUAGUAUAUGAGAGCAAUUUCAAAUAAAUUAGUCAUUCCUGUUACCUACUGAAGACUGGAACCGGUUCUCCAUAGUUACUGAAGUCCUUUUUGAAGAAUGGCUCACGAAGUCAGCUGCCUGCCUCUAAAAUCUGAGGACCUCCCUUAGUAUGCCCAGUGCCCAUGCACCUGGGUAUCCUGGUGUUCACCAAAACCUUAGAGUUAGAGGACAGAGGUAGGAAGCCCUGCAGCUGCUGACCAGUGAGCCUACCCAAUUGUUGAGCUCCGGAUUCAGUAUGAGACCGUGUCGUAGGUGAUUGGUUAAGAAAGUUACUUGAGAUAGCUAUAUCAGGGGCCUGUCAGCAAAAUCUUGCUGGCAUAUGCAAUAGUGUCUGGGUUUGUUGGUUGUUUAUGGGAUGGAUCCCUGGGUGGGGCAGUCUCUGGAUGGUCCUUCCUUCCAUCUCAGCUCAGAACUUUUGUCUCUGUAACUCCUUCCAUGGGUACUUUAAGAAAAUAUCUUAAAAAAAAAAAAAGAGCAGAGAUAAAAGGGAAAUUUUAGGCAAAACACAUCUUUUUAAGUUAAAGUGAGCCACACAAAAUAGUGGGUAACUUUUCUAUGGUGCUUUACCAAAGGGGAGAUGGGCCCUCUCUCUCCUGCCACUCAGGGCCAGGAUUCAUGUUGUAGGCUUUCAGAAAUGUUUAAGAACCAUUGCAAUGUGGUGCAAGACACUGAAUUUAUUGAAUAAGUUGUAUUUUGACUAAUUUUUUAUUUAUAAUGUUACUACCUGGGAAUCAUGAGUAAUAAAUUGUUCUGGGUGAUAUUUAAUAAUCAAGUAAGAAGUAAAAGAAUUAGACUGCCAUUAUUUUCCUCAAAAG